UCCCCAGUGGUCCAGUGGUUAGGACUCUGCACUUAUACUGCAGCGGGUGCGGGCUGGAUCCCUAGGGGAA
rnacentral:tRNA from 1 species